GAAAAGUCAAAUAUCAACAGCUUGUUGUGCAACCUCUUCAAAAAUUUUUUAUUUAAUAAACGAUUAAAAAAAUUUCUUUUUACGUUUUUACAUUGCCGUAUUUUAUAAAGAAACAAUUAAAACAUUUUCACUAAAAGUUUAGUGAAGUCACUAAACUUUUUACGAGCUUAAAGAUCAUUAUAUUUGUUAUAAAACCAUCACAAAUAACCUUACAAAUAAAAAAAAUUAUCAUAGAAAUACCGCACAUCAUCAUGACGUGAUAAAAAUUCUUUACGUUGUUAAAAAAAUAUCUAUGGCAUAGCAAUCAUGGUGUAGAAUUUAAACACUACUACGUGAUAAAAACUACAUUGGCUUCAUAUCGUAGACGUAAUCAAAUGAUUUCAUCAGCGGGAUAGUUGAUGAUGGUGCAGGAGUGGCAUUUGGUGGAUUUAUUUUAUCCUUGUUUGAAAAGCAAAAGAUAUGAGACAUUUGGAAAUGCCGAUCGCUACAGAAAAAAAAACACCUGGUAAAGUGAUCGAUAUAAGCCAAUAAAAUGUCAGAUAUCGAGAAGAAAUUACACUACCAG